rnacentral:misc_RNA from 1 species
AACGCACAUUGCGCCCGUUAGUAUUCUGACGGGCAUGCCUGUUCGAGCGUCAUUUCAACCCUCAAGCACCGCUUGGCGUUGGCGGCAUACUGCGCUUCGGCGCUGUAGUCGCCCAAAUGCAUUGGCGGUCCCGCUGUGGCUCCCCUGCGUAGUAACUCACCUCGCAACGGGUCCAGGCGGCGGCCUGCCGUAAAACCCCCACUAUUUACAAGGUUGACCUCGGAUCAGGUAGGAAUACCCGCUGAACUUAA